rnacentral:rRNA from 1 species
ACACAUGCAAGUCGAACGAUGUCCUUCGGGGCAUAGUGGCGCACGGGUGCGUAACGCGUGGGAAUCUGCCCUUGGGUACGGAACAACAGUUAGAAAUGACUGCUAAUACCGUAUGAUGUCUUCGGACCAAAGAUUUAUCGCCCAGGGAUGAGCCCGCGUUGGAUUAGGUAGUUGGUGGGGUAAAGGCCUACCAAGCCGACGAUCCAUAGCUGGUCUGAGAGGAUGAUCAGCCACACUGGGACUGAGACACGGCCCAGACUCCUACGGGAGGCAGCAGUGGGGAAUUUUGGACAAUGGGCGCAAGCCUGAUCCAGCCAUGCCGCGUGCAGGAUGAAGGCCUUCGGGUUGUAAACUGCUUUUGUACGGAACGAAAAGGCUUUCUCUAAUAAAGAGGGCUCAUGACGGUACCGUAAGAAUAAGCACCGGCUAACUACGUGCCAGCAGCCGCGGUAAUACGUAGGGUGCAAGCGUUAAUCGGAAUUACUGGGCGUAAAGCGUGCGCAGGCGGUGAUGUAAGACAGUUGUGAAAUCCCCGGGCUCAACCUGGGAACUGCAUCUGUGACUGCAUCGCUGGAGUGCGGCAGAGGGGGAUGGAAUUCCGCGUGUAGCAGUGAAAUGCGUAGAUAUGCGGAGGAACACCGAUGGCGAAGGCAAUCCCCUGGGCCUGCACUGACGCUCAUGCACGAAAGCGUGGGGAGCAAACAGGAUUAGAUACCCUGGUAGUCCACGCCCUAAACGAUGUCAACUGGUUGUUGGGUCUUCACUGACUCAGUAACGAAGCUAACGCGUGAAGUUGACCGCCUGGGGAGUACGGCCGCAAGGUUGAA